rnacentral:rRNA from 1 species
AUGUAAACCUGCUGAAUUUAAGCAUAUAAGUAGGCGGUGGAAAAUGAACCAAAUGGGAUUCCUUAAGUAAUUGCGAAUGAACAAGGAACUGCUCAGCUUGAAAAUUGGGGCCUUCGGCCUUGAAUUGUAAUUUUGAAAUGUAUUGCCAAUGGAGGCGCAGGUGCAAGCCUAUUGAAAGAAAGCGUCAAUGAGGGUGAGAUUCCUUUUUGUCAUUUGCAGUCCUCCGUGCACGGUAUAUAUUUGACGAGUCACACUCCUUGGCAUUGGAAUGCAAAGUGGGUGGUAAAUUCCAUGUAAAGGAAAAUAUAUUAUUGAGACUGAUAGCAAACAAGUACCAUGAGGGAAAUAUGAAAAGGACUUUGAAAAGAGAAUUAAAAGAGUCUGCAUUUGCUGAACAGAAAGCAAACAGAAUUGAUCUACUUGGUGAGAUUGUUGCGUCCACUUGUGGGCGCAAUGGUUCUUGCCUUGAAUGUCAGCGUCUACUUCUGCAAAUUAUUACCCUUGCAUAUGAAUGGUAAUUUGCCUGUGGGCAUUGGAAUGCAUGUGUUUGCAAUGAUUUGUGAUUUGAUACAUGUGUCUGGUGUUCGUGUGUGUGCCUUCUUGCCAACAAGGGGAGGGCUCUCCUCCCUGGGCACUGCAAGCCCUUGCACAUUGUUGCUGGCAAAAUGUUUCUGCUUGACCCGUCUUGUAACACGGACCAAGGAGUCUAACAGAUGUGCAAGUUCGUGGGUGGGCAAACCUUUUUGCGUAAUGAAAGUAUUGGCUGGGAUACUUGCACCAGCAGCCGACCGAUUAGCAGACAGAGGUUUGAGUUUGAGCAUAUCUAUUAGGACCCGAAAGAUGGUGAACUAUGCCUGAACAGAACGAAUUCAGAGGAAACUCUGAUGGAGGUUCGUAUCGAUACUGACGUGCAAAUCGUUCGUCAUACUUGGGUAUAGGGGCGAAAGACUAAUCGAACCAUC